UACGUAGGGCGCAAGCGUUGUCCGGAAUUAUUGGGCGUAAAGAGCUCGUAGGCGGUCCGUUACGUCGGGAGUGAAAACCCGGGGCUCAACCCCGGGCUUGCUUUCGAUACGGGCAGACUAGAGUAUGGCAGGGGAGACUGGAAUUCCUGGUGUAGCGGUGAAAUGCGCAGAUAUCAGGAAGAACACCUAUGGCGAAGGCAGCUCUCUGGGACGGUACUGACGCUGAGACGCGAAAGCGUGGGGAGCGAACAGG
rnacentral:rRNA from 1 species